ACGGCUGGCGGCGUUGCCUAACACAUGCAAGUCGAGCGCGAAAGUUCCUUCGGGGAUGAGUAGAGCGGCGGACGGUGAGUAAUACAUAGGUAAUCUACCUUCGAGUUUGGGAUAACCCCGCGAAAGUGGGGCUAAUACCGGAUAAGACCACGUAACUUAUGUUACGGGGUAAAAGAUGGCUUGUUUUUUAAAUAAGCUAUCACUUGAUGAUGAGCCUAUGGCCUAUCAGCUUGUUGGCGGGGUAAGAGCCCACCAAGGCUAUGACGGGUAGCUGGUCUGAGAAGACGACCAGCCACACUGAGACUGAGACACGGCCCAGACUCCUACGGGAGGCAGCAGUGGGGAAUAUUGGGCAAUGGGCGAAAGCCUGACCCAGCGACGCCGCGUGGGUGAUGAAGGCCUUCGGGUUGUAAAGCCCUGUCAUGCGGAAAGAACGACCCUGUGACGCAUACUCACAGGGAGUGACGGUACCGCAGGAGGAAGCACCGGCUAACUCCGUG
rnacentral:rRNA from 1 species